UACAGAGGUCCCGAGCGUUGUUCGGAUUCACUGGGCGUAAAGGGUGCGUAGGUGGCUUGAAAAGUUUGAUGUGAAAGCUCAGGGCUUAACCCUGAAAUGGCAUUGAAUACUGUCGAGCUGGAGGUUUGGAGGGGGGACUGGAAUUCUUGGUGUAGCAGUGAAAAUGCGUAGAUAUCAAGAGGAACACCAGUGGCGAAGGCGAGUCCCUGGACAACACCUGACACUGAGGCACGAAAGCUAGGGGGAGCAAACAGG
rnacentral:rRNA from 1 species